GAUGAUUAUGAGAUCUCUUGAAACAACAGAAUGUUUAAUAAAGAUUUUUAACUUUCCUAAUAGUAAAAUUACAAUUAUUACUAAACAGUAAGUUGAAGUAAGUUUUAAAUUAAGAGAAUGCAACUAACACCGAAAGAAAAAUGAAAGUUACUGAAAAUAAAAAACUUUAUUGCAGUACCUACAUACACUUUCUACAUCUAAUUUUGUUUAUUGAUCACAUUCAUUUACUUGAAAAAGUAUCAGGCCUAUGAAUCGUCGUCUGGAAACAGCUAACCACACACCAACCUUCAUUGCGUGUGAUGGUGUUUCUUCAAAAGCCCUAACAGAUGAAACCAGGCUUCAUCAGAAAAGAACGACAAAUCGAGAAUCCCGUUAUCGUCCAUAUCAGCUUGAAACCAACUACAAUACCCAACGCGGCAAGGAAAAUCAGCUGGUUGCAGCUCCUGAACCAACAAAAUCUUGUAUGGACGCAUAUGUAACUUCUCUUUUACGAUUUUCUGACAUGGGCUGUAUGGUACUCCAGACAGUAAAGAUUUUUGACAAAGCUUUA